rnacentral:rRNA from 12 species
CGUAUACGGUGGAUGCCUUGGCAAAUAGAGGCGAUGAAGGACGUGUAAGUCUGCGAAAAGCUGUGGUGAGCUGACAAAACGCAUUUGAGCCACAGAUGUCCGAAUGGGGGAACCCACACAUUUAUGUGUAUCGUUAACUGAAUUCAUAGGUUAACGAGGCGAACGAGGGGAACUGAAACAUCUAAGUACCCUUAGGAAAAGAAAUCAACCGAGAUUCCCUGAGUAGCGGCGAGCGAAAGGGGAGCAGCCGAUAAGCAAAGUAUUAGUGGAAUCUUCUGGAAAGUUGAGCGAUACCGGGUGAUAGCCCCGUACAUGAAGAUGCUUUGUUUACAUAUUAAGUAGGUCGGGACACGUGUUAUCCUGACUGAAGAUGGGGGGACCAUCCUCCAAGGCUAAAUACUCCUAUUUGACCGAUAGUGAACCAGUACCGUGAGGGAAAGGUGAAAAGAACCCCGGGAGGGGAGUGAAAUAGAACAUGAAAUCGUAAGUUUACAAGCAGUAGAAGAGCGACUUAACGCUCGACUUCGUGCCUGUUGAAGAAUGAGCUGGCGACUUGUAGGCUAUGGCAAGGUUAAAAUAAGAAAAUAUUGGAGCCAGAGUGAAAGCGAGCUUGAUAAGAGCGUUAAGUCAUAGUUUACAGACCCGAACCCGGAUGAUCUAACCAUGGCCAGUGUGAAGCUUAGGUAACACUAAGUGGAGGUACGAACCGACUGUUGUUGAAAAAACAGCGGAUGAGUUGUGGUUAGGGGUGAAAUUCCAAUCGAAUCCGGAGCUAGCUGGAUCUCCCCGAAAUGCGUUGAGGCGCAGCGACUAAUAUUUCUUUUUAGGGGUAAAGCUACUGUUUUGGUGCGGGCUGCGAGAGCGGUACCAAAUCAAGGCAAACUCUGAAUACUAAAAUGUUUAAUUAGUUAGUGAGACAUUGGGGGAUAAGCUUCAAUGUCAAGAGGGAAACAGCCCAGAUUACCAGUUAAGGCCCCUAAAUAAUUACUAAGUGAUAAAGGAGGUGGGAGUGCAUAGACAAUCAGGAGGUUUGCCUAGAAGCAGCAAUCCUUUAAAGAGUGCGUAAUAGCUCACUGUUCGAGUGCUCCUGCGCCGAAAAUGAAUGGGACUAAGUAAUUUGCCGAAGCUGUAAGAUGUUAAAACAUCGGUAGGGGAGCGUUCUACAUUAGUUUGAAGCGUUAGCGGAAGCGGGCGUGGACAAGGUAGAAGUGAGAAUGUUAGCUUGAGUAGCGAAAACAUUGGUGAGAAUCCAAUGCCCCGAAAACCCAAGGGUUCCUCCGGAAGGCUCGUCCGCGGAGGGUGAGUCAGGUCCUAAGGUGAGGCUAAUAGCGUAAUCGAUGGAUAACAGGUUAAUAUUCCUGUACUGUUUAUUGUUGGUAAAGGGGGACGGAGAAGGCUAGACCAGCCGAAUGUUGGUUAUCGGUUUAAGUAUUCAAGGUGUUGAGGAACGGUGAAAACGUUCUGAGCUGAGAUAUGAAUAGGAAAGUGUUAAGACACUGAACUGGUUGAUGUCAUACUUCCAAGAAAAGCCCUAACUACCAUAAGCAAUAAAUACCUGUACCCUAAACCGACACAGGUGGGUAAGUAGAGAAUACUAAGGGGCGCGAGAUAACUCUCUCUAAGGAACUCGGCAAAAUGGCCUCGUAACUUCGGGAGAAGAGGUGCCCUUAAACGGGCUGCAAGAACCAGACGCUGGCGACUGUUUAUCAAAAACACAGGUCUCCGCAAAGUCGUAAGACGAUAUAUGGGGGCUGACACCUGCCCAGUGCCGGAAGGUUAAGGAAGCUUGUUAGUCUUUGACGAAGCUCGCGACUGAAGCCCCGGUGAACGGCGGCCGUAACUAUAACGGUCCUAAGGUAGCGAAAUUCCUUGUCGGGUAAGUUCCGACCUGCACGAAUGGCGUAACGACUUCCCCGCUGUCUCCAACAUAGACUCAGCGAAAUUGAAUUCCCCGUGAAGAUGCGGGGUUCCUGCGGCUAGACGGAAAGACCCCGUGCACCUUUACUACAGCUUCACAGUGGUGUUAGUGACGGCAUGUGUAGGAUAGGUGGUAGGCUUUGAAACUUGGGCGCCAGCUCAGGUGGAGCCACCCUUGAAAUACCACCCUUAUCUUCAUUGACAUCUAACCGCGGCCCGUUAUCCGGGUCCGGGACCCUGUGUGGUGGGUAGUUUGACUGGGGCGGUCGCCUCCCAAAGAGUAACGGAGGCGCGCGAUGGUAGGCUCAAGCUGGUCGGAAAUCAGCUGUUGAGUGCAAUGGCAUAAGCCUGCCUGACUGCGAGACUGACAAGUCGAGCAGAGACGAAAGUCGGUCAUAGUGAUCCGGUGGUCCCGCAUGGAAGGGCCAUCGCUCAACGGAUAAAAGGUACGCCGGGGAUAACAGGCUGAUACCGCCCAAGAGUUCACAUCGACGGCGGUGUUUGGCACCUCGAUGUCGGCUCAUCACAUCCUGGGGCUGAAGCCGGUCCCAAGGGUAUGGCUGUUCGCCAUUUAAAGUGGUACGCGAGCUGGGUUUAGAACGUCGUGAGACAGUUCGGUCCCUAUCU